ACCCCGCUGGUGAGUCCUACAUAGGACGAAAUGCGCGUCAAACUGGAU
rnacentral:hammerhead_ribozyme from 1 species